AUGGGCGCAAGCCUGAACGAGCAACGCCGCGUGGAGGAUGACGGCCUUCGGGUUGUAAACUCCUUUUCCGGGGGAUGAUUGUGACUGUACCCCGGGAAUAAGGCUCGGCUAACUCUGUGCCAGCAGCCGCGGUAAG
rnacentral:rRNA from 1 species